ACAUCCAGAGAACUUAGCAGAGAUGCUUUGGUGCCUUCGGGAACUCUGAGACAGGUGCUGCAUGGCUGUCGUCAGCUCGUGUUGUGAAAUGUUGGGGUUAAAGUCCCGNAACGAGCGCAACCCUUAUCCUUUGUUGCCAGCGAUUCGGUCGGGAACUCAAAGGAGACUGCCGGUGAUAAACCGGAGGAAGGUGGGGAUGACGUCAAGUCAUCAUGGCCCUUACGGCCAGGGCUACACACGUGCUACAAUGGCGCAUACAAAGAGAAGCGACCUCGCGAGAGCAAGCGGACCUCAUAAAGUGCGUCGUAGUCCGGAUUGGAGUCUGCAACUCGACUCCAUGAAGUCGGAAUCGCUAGUAAUCGUAGAUCAGAAUGCUACGGUGAAUACGUUCCCGGGCCUUGUACACACCGCCCGUCACACCAUGGGAGUGGGUUGCAAAAGAAGUAGGUAGCUUAACCUUCGGGAGGGCGCUUACCACUUUGUGAUUCAUGACUGGGGUGAAGUCGUAACAAGGUAGGCGUAGACGU
rnacentral:rRNA from 1 species